rnacentral:misc_RNA from 1 species
UCGCGGCUUAUCACCGGCAGUCUCCUUAGAGUGCUCAACUAAAUGGUAGCAACUAAGGACGGGGGUUGCGCUCGUUGCGGGACUUAACCCAACAUCUCACGACACGAGCUGACGACGGCCAUGCAGCACCUUUCACUAGGCUCCCGAAGGCACUCCACCGUUUCCGGCGGAUUCCUAGGAUGUCAAGCCUGGGUAAGGUUCUACGCGUAGCGUCAUAUUAAACCACAUCAUCCUCUGCUUGUGCGGGUCCCCGUCAAUUCCUUUGAGUUUUAGCCUUGCGGCCGUACUUCCCAGGCGGCAUACUUAUCGCGUUAGCUGCGUCUCACAGGGGGUCGAUACCCCAUAAGACUAGUAUGCAUCGUUUACGGCGUGGACUAC